UACGAAGGGGGCUAGCGUUGCUCGGAAUCACUGGGCGUAAAGGGUGCGUAGGCGGGUCUUUAAGUCAGGGGGGAAAUCCUGGAGCUCAACUCCAGAACUGCCUUUGAUACUGGCGAUCUUGAGUCCGGGAGAGGUGAGUGGAACUGCGAGUGUAGAGGUGAAAUUCGUAGAUAUUCGCAAGAACACCAGUGGCGAAGGCGGCUCACUGGCCCGGUACUGACGCUGAGGUGCGAAAGCGUGGGGAGCAAACAGG
rnacentral:rRNA from 1 species